CAGCUGUCCCGGCUCCAGAGGAACGCGAUCCUCUCCGCCCUGGCCUUCCUGCUGAGCUGCGGGCUCCUGUCCUACCUCAGCGCGGCCGACCCGUGGACAGCCCCGAACGGCAGGCCAGCGGAGGAGCAGAAGGGGAGGCCCGCACACCCGCCCGUCUUGCCGGCUCCUCGGAAGGCAGAUGCCGACCCGGGACAGGGCCCGCGGCUGCCGCCUCAGAUCAGAGCGCCCCACAGAGACGCGG